GAAUGAUGAAGUAUGCGCUGGGAAACGUAGAGUCUGUCUGAGUGACCAGGAGUGGUCUUCAGUUUGAUAAUUUUUUUUUUUACAUAUUUUUUUUUGCUUGGUUAUUUUUUGGGGGUAUUUUGUUCCAUUUUUGUGAAUCCUGUUUCUAUCCCGCACAGUAGGUGGCGAUCGCCCAUAUACCACAGAAGAAGGUAACGCGACUCGAGUCUGACUAGUAGCCGCAUUGUCUUUUCUUCCUUAACAGGAGGAGCUGUUUUCCUUCCUGGCAGAGUGAUAUGACUCAAGUGUUGCUGUCCUGAGCCGCUUUCAGCUGCUGUCCUACCAGAAAGAUGGCCCUGUGGAGAUGUCUUGCCUACAGUUGACAGCACCAAAGCAGUCAUCAAUUCUGAGCACAGCUGCAAGCGACCAGAUCGUAAUGCCAAUGAUCAAUUUGGUUUGACAUUCAAUAUCCCUUUGGGGAUAGUUAGGGACCAUCAGUAAAUUACAAAAUGUACAGGGGGACAAUAUUUUUUUUAACAUGUCAAUAGUUCCAAAUUUCAAUGACUUCAAACCAACUAUUAAUAAUAGCAAUUAAUAUACAAUUAUUGAAAACAUUUAAGAACUAAAAUAUGUGCAACGUAAAAAGUAUUGUCACAUUUUACAUUGUAAUUUACUGACGAUCCCUAACUAGCUCCAGUGCAAGGCUAUCCAAGGUCAAACCAACUGUGCCACAGUCACACACCGGCCAGCUGAAGCUAAUUGGUGAAAGAAGUUGACUAGCUAGUCUAGGCUACUUUCAGACAAAACCUGGUUACACUGUUUCAAGUCAUCUAGAGGGCAGGGUCCAGGGAACCAACCAGGGUAUCACGUCCAGAUACACCCAGGGAACCAACCAGGGUAUCACGUCCAGAUACACCCAGGGAACCAACCAGGGUAUCACGUCCAGAUACACCCAGGGAACCAACCAGGGUAUCAC